rnacentral:rRNA from 1 species
UACAGAGGGGGCAAGCGUUGUUCGGAAUUACUGGGCGUAAAGGGUGCGCAGGCGGUUAUAUAAGACAGAUGUGAAAUCCCCGGGCUCAACCUGGGAACUGCGUUUGUGACUGUAUGACUAGAGUACGGUAGAGAGGGGUGGAAUUCCUGGUGUAGCAGUGAAAUGCGUAGAUAUCAGGAGGAACAUCGAUGGCGAAGGCAGCCCCUUGGACCUGUACUGACGCUCAUGCACGAAAGCGUGGGGAGCAAACAGG